rnacentral:misc_RNA from 1 species
AAGUCGUAACAAGGUUUCCGUAGGUGAACCUGCGGAAGGAUCAUUAAAUAUCGGUAGUUUACUACUGUUUGAGGGGAGUGGAAACUGGCCAGUUCAGGAGUACAUUUCUUUUCUUAACCCUUGACUUUUUGCGCACUUGUGUUUCCUCGGCAGGCUUGCCUGCCGGCUGGACAAUUCAAUAACCUUUUUAAUUUUCAAUCAGCGUCUGAAUUAUUUAAUAAUUACAA